GUGGACCAUACAGCAGCUCAUAUCUACUGGAAGGAUUAAAACAUUUUAAUAGCAGUCAUUUACAAAUCUGUUUAAAUUUCUGGCACUAAUUGAUUUAAAAAAAAAAAAAAAAAGUUUUUUCUUCCGGAGUACCCCUUUAAGCCUGUGCUGGCCAUGGCAUUGUGACAACCAAAGGGUGCCAGCAUAAGCCAACAAAAUCAAGGCCUAGGAUGACACUUUAUUGGGGGGGGCGCCAGCCGAGUGUUUUGUGCAGAGAACAAUCGUGUGUCUCUUGGGGGUUACCGUAUCGGAUUGGCCCAGGACAGCACAAAACCAAUAUACACCACUGAUUGGCAGCCGGGGAAACUCCGAUUUUUUUAGCAUAAUGCCAGGGCCAGGCCAAGCUUCAGCUGCUGUUGCCGCCUAGUAUGAACAGUAGGAUAUAUCUGUAAUGUUAGGUGCAGGUAAGAGAUGUAUUGCUUAUUGGGACUUGCUAAAUGUCACUGUAAUUUGCAUAUCAUUUUUUUUUAAAUAUGUUACAUAUAUUUUUUUUUACGUCUUUGAAGUAAGAGGUGCCAGAGUGGGUAACAUAUCAGGCCACAGUUUGAGACCACUGCUUUAGACUAUUCUUAUCAGCCAUCUUGAAUUACCCUUGCCUGGAAGAAUUGGUCUUCCGACAUAGUGCUGUAUUGCUUCAUGUACUCCGACACACAUACUUAUAAAUUGCAGAGUCCUAAACACUAGUGUGUAUGUAUGUAUGUAUGUAUGUAUAUAUAUAUAUAUAUAUAUAUAUAUAUAUAUAUAUAUAUAUAUAUAUAUAUAUAUAUAUACACACACACACUAUUUUUGAAUCUCAAAAAUUCCCUGUCGGGGGAUCUCAUGUCUACUUUUGUGUUAUGUUGUGUACACUGGAAAGAUGUAAUUUUCACAGAAUAUAUGUGUAUAGGGUCAAUUGUUUUUGUACACUGAGGGUUGUCAAUAAAGUUAUGUACAUAUUCCAUAUUAUAUCAAAAGAUUCCAAUGGGUCUAAGACCGAACUUUGAACUGGACUCUAUUGUCUUGUGCUGUAGAUGUACAAUUGCACUUUCUUCAGGGGUUCUUCCAUUCUUGUCCAAGGCUGCUAGCAAAAUAUGAACCCUGAUACUGACAAAAAAUUAAAAAAAUUCUCAUGGAAAUGGUGUUUAUCCCAAAAGGGGUUACCCAGGAAUAAAAAAGCAGAGCUAAUUUCUUUCAAAAACAGCUCCAUGUCUGUCCCCAGGUUGUGUUAGGUAUUACAACUUCAAUGGAACUGUGCUGCAAUACCACACACAACCUGGAGACAGAUAUGGAGUGUUUUUUUUUUUUUUUUAAAGAAAUUAAGUCUGUUUUUCUAUUCCUGGAUAACCCCUUUAUGGACGGUUUAUUAUGUUUUCUUCCAAAUUAAGUGGUAAAAAUACAAAAAUUUGACAAUUUUUUCCCACUUUGUAGGUCCUUCGAAUUGACAAAUGAUACGAUGGGUUCUUCAAAAAUAUUGUUGGGCAUUUCAGAUUCGUUUACUAGAAAGCGGUCCCUUUUAUGAGACUUUUUAAUGUUGUUUUGGAAAAUUUUGGCCGAUCCUCUGUUUUUACCCUGAGAUGAACAGAAUGGAUCAGGAGCAACUUCAUUCUUCAAAAAUAUAACAUUCAUGUUAACUACCAACCCAACAAUUUUUGGCUUGUGUGUGGUUAUCUUGAGCAAUCACUCUUUUAAAGGAGAACUCCAGUUUGUACCAACUUAUCCCUUAUCCUAAGGAAAGGGGAUAAGUGUCCGACCGCUGGGGCCCCCCACGAUCUCCCGCAUUGAUCACUGGUUUCCUGCAUGAAAGGAGCCAUUUCGACCAUCGCACGAAGCUGAGGCCGACACUUCCCCUCUCUCUGCAGUUCUAUAGCAGAGCCGGAGAUUGCCGAAAGCAGCGCUCCAGCUCUCCCAUAGAGCUGCAUGGAAGGGGCAUGUUGGCCGUCGCUUGGUGCGAUGGUUGACAUGCCCCAUUCAUGCUGAGAACCCGGGUGGCGUGUGGGAGAUCGCGCGCGGGAGGGUCGUUCAGCGUUCUGACCCCCCGCGUUCUGACACUUAUCCCCUAUCCUUAGGUUAGGGGAUAAGUUGUUACAUCCUGGGAUUCUCCUUUAAUAUUGUUUAUAUAUGGGAAGAGCUAUGUUGAAUACCUCUCAUCCAGGUUUUAUUGCCCUGGCAAAUGCAUACUCAAUGUACUAUGUACCCUAUGUACUCAACAGUCCUGCAAAAAAUAGCACUGCUGGGAGAUUUGAUCAAGUCGAACCUACUAUUAGGUUGUAUUACUGUUGGCCAAGUACAUUAUUGGUUCCCAUAAAUUUUCCCUUACAAGUAUGAACCAGUUGUAGAAUGGAAAACCAUCACUCAAUGCUUUGUAGGCUAGUUGUGCAAUGCCAACAACGAUGCGUGUUACCUUCUAUACAUAUGGUACAUCCUACCAAUCACCGCCAUGUAGCCUCGGUUGGCCUUAGGCGAGGAUUCAUUUGUAUGAAAUAUGUCAUUGGGGCCAUAUAGUGUCCAGAUUUGGAACCAACCAUUGGACUACUCCUAUGUGAGUGAGCCUAAAGAGGAGGGCAGGUAUAUGACAUACCACGUGGCUAUGUUGUGCCCAGAGCAGAGGGGUCUCUACCAAUGAAAGAUAUUCAGGCUUAAAUCUCAGGCUUCACUUUGCAAUAGUUCUUGCAUUUUUUGUUUCUUAGUUCUCGAUUGUGUUCACACAGCAGAUAAAAUAUGCAGAAAGACCAUGCUGUCUCCUGAGAUACAGAACGAUGUUAUUUCAUGGAUUGUAUUUUAUUUAUUUAACGCUUGUUUUUUUUUUUUUCCUGUUUUGUAAAUGAGAUUAAAUCCAAAAAAAUGAAAAAAAACAAAAAACCUUUCCAUAAAUCUAUUUACUGAUCUCAGAUGCUGUACAGUAGUUUCUUAUGUAUAUACUGAGAUUUCUCUAAUGAAAAGCACAAUGAACAUACGAAUAUGGACUCGCCCUGAAGGGAGACUUUUGUCUUGUAAUAACUUAAGAUGAUUAAAAUGAUGGUAAUUUCUCUA